rnacentral:rRNA from 1 species
UACGUAGGGUGCAAGCGUUAAUCGGAAUUACUGGGCGUAAAGCGUGCGCAGGCGGUUGUGCAAGACAGAUGUGAAAUCCCCGGGCUCAACCUGGGAACUGCAUUUGUGACUGCACGGCUGGAGUGCGGCAGAGGAGACUGGAAUUCCUGGUGUAGCAGUGAAAUGCGUAGAUAUCAGGAGGAAUACCGAUGGCGAAGGCAGGUCUCUGGGCUGACACUGACGCUGAGGAGCGAAAGCGUGGGGAGCAAACAGG